rnacentral:rRNA from 1 species
AUUGAACGCUGGCGGCAGGCCUAACACAUGCAAGUCGAACGAGUGGCGGACGGGUGAGUAAUGUCUGGGAAACUGCCUGAUGGAGGGGGAUAACUACUGGAAACGGUAGCUAAUACCGCAUACCAUCAGAUGUGCCCAGAUGGGCUUAGCUUGUUGGUGGGGUAACGGCUCACCAAGGCGACGAUCCCUAGCUGGUCUGAGAGGAUGACCGGCCACACUGGAACUGAGCAACGGUCCAGACUCCUACGGAAGGCAGCGUAGGGAAUGAUUGGACAAUGGGGGAAAGCCUGAUGCAGCCAUGCCGCGUGUAUGAGGAGGGCCUUCGAGUUGUAAAGUACUUUCAGCGGGGAGGCGUUACCCGCAGAAGAAGCACCGGCUAACUCCGUGCCAGCAGCCGCGGUAAUAC